rnacentral:lncRNA from 1 species
AAGCAGAAGACAUAUACUAUUUAGAUUAUAUGUUUUCAAUGCGACUUUGGGGCAUCCAUCAUUUUCUUUUAGUUGAUCUUGAGGGGUCAACAAUGUUAAAAUUAGAUCAAUAGUCUCCAAGUAAAUAAAGGAAUAUAUGAACUCUUGUGUCGAGUAGUCGCGUCAGACAUAUUAAUGCUGAAAGUUUAUAUUUUCUUUAAAAGAAAAUAUUAAUGCUGACAUUUGGCGACAGUAUCAAUGGAUCAUUUCUCUUUCGUUAUUUUCAAUACUAAUACUAAGAGCAUUGCCUCCACACUUGUAAACAGAAUUCUUGUUUCAUCUCAAUAUUUGCUAACGUUAUUAUAGUUGUAAAUUUUGCGUUUUGGUUUGAUCAUUGUUUUUCAAGUUUUUAUUGUUAUAGGGUUAGAGUUGUGAUGAUGAACUGUGUAUGCAUUGUUCCCCACUUAUAAAAGACUAAACUGUGUUAGUAAUGUGAUUGAUAUAGUUCGUGGUGUUACUUGUUGUGUCACUGAAACUUAUUGUUUGUUUGUCUUUUUAGUUUGUUUCUUGUACUGUUGAGAGUACAUAAAUUAUAUUAAGGUUGUUGAGAGUACCUUUUGUUUCUGGAUAUUUUUUCUACAGUUUAGUUGUGUAAGUUGUGUGUAUUAAGUAAUAGUUUUAAUUAUCUUUAUUAUGUUUGUUAUAUGUUUUUUUUUUUUAAACUUAUUCUUUUACCAGAUCUUUAAAACAAAUACAUGGACUUGUAGAAAUAACUAUAAAAUGCGCGAUAAUUCUGAGUAUUUGAG